rnacentral:lncRNA from 1 species
GCUGUUUAUUAUUUAAAACAAGGAAAAUAUGUAUUUUGUACUUAUCAACACUUUAUAUAGAUAAAAUUUAAGAAAAUAUUAUGUAAAACAAAUAUGGAAUGUUUAAGUUUGUGUGUCCAAGUUUCUACCUUCAGUCAAAUGGUAAAGCAGUUAUUUAAUACCUUGGAGGAUCCCAGUUCAAUUUCUGAUCCCAUAUAUCCAGUUUUUCAGAUGAUGUCUGGACUCAGCCACAUCCUAUUGAAUCCUAUCUUUCAAUCUUCCUUUGAUCCCAUCAGAGUAUUGAUGAAUGUGAAGCUCAAAAAGUGCCUAUUGCGAAAAGUAUUCUGCAUCAGUGGAUGGCUUAAUUUAAACUAACUUAAUCAGGUUUCUAGCAAAAACAAUCAAUUAUUUUUUUAAAUUAUGUUUUAAAUUUUUAACCUAAUUCGUCAAAAGUAUUCCAAGACAUGGAAUCCAAAUUUCAUCCUGAACCAGCCCUAGCAUUGAAUUUGGAUAAAUGAAUUAAUUUAUCAUAUUUCAUUGCAGAAAUUUUCUG